rnacentral:misc_RNA from 1 species
UACAGAGGGUGCAAGCGUUAAUCGGAAUUACUGGGCGUAAAGCGUGCGUAGACGGUUAUGUAAGUCGGGUGUGAAGGCCCCGGGCUCAACCUGGGAAUGCCAUUCGAGACUGCGUAGCUAGGGUGCGGAAGAGGGAAGCGGAAUUUCCGGUGUAGCGGUGAAAUGCGUAGAGAUCUGGAGGAAUACCGAUGGCGAAGGCAGCCAUCUGGCCUAACACUGACGCUGAGGUACGAAAGCAUGGGGAGCAAACAGG